UAUAAACUCAUGAGCAACCCCUUAGUUAGCCGAUGUGGGACUCCUCUCCCAACGAUUCUCAACAUUUAACAAAUUAAUUGUUUACCUUUUCUCCAAUGGCAUCCUGUAUAAUGUUCAUGUGACUACUGAUUCCAGUGAUUAUUUCGACAGUCGUGAGAUCUGUGUCAAAAGCACCAAUUUCCUGACUAAGCACUGAUUGCAUGAACGCCAAUCUUAGGCGAGCCGUCUGUCUCUCACUUGCAUACAUCCAACACCCAAUUUCUAUAGAGAGAAUGAAAAUGUAAGUAUACUUUCCAUAUGUGAAGUGAUUGAUUCAAAUAUUGUUGAAGGAAGAAAGGGAUUUUACCAAGUAUUCCUGCAGGGAAAGUGGCGAUGGCCAUGUACCAUACAAAUGGAAUCACCUACCAAAACAUGAAAACAAAAUAAAUCCUCACAUAGUACCUUUCUAUACAAAAUAAUAAUAUGAACACAAUUGGUAAGUAUACCUCAUAGAGGGCAUCAACCAUUGCAUCAAGGUCAUCGAUAUUAUUUCCAAAUGCAUCAAGUGCUUUGCCAAGCAACAGAUACCCAAUUGGCUGAGCCAUGCCAUGGACAACAGAACCCAAUGUCCCCAAAGCCAUUAAGACCCAAUCCAAAGCAUCAGCAUAGCCAAGAAGCUUGUGGAAUGGCAAAGCAUCAUCAAUGGAGAUACCACUGUCAUCACAAAUAGAGGAGGAAGGAAAUCAAACCCAAACGAGGCAAAUCGUGUGGAUGAUCAUUGAAAAAAUUGAUCAGAAACAUAGGAGAGUUUUCGGGAAAUCGGGUUGAGAAGACGAAGUCCACGGGUUGGGAUUCGGUUCAGUUUUGGGUGGCCUAGUAGCCGGCAAACGUUCACCGGACCCAACCUCUACGUAACUCAGUUCAUAGCCCAAGUAGUAACUAGGCGUCUAGCCUAGGAUCGACGCUCGGCCCAACCUAUUGGACGAUAUCGGUCCAGCAUGCAGGCGACUCGUGACCUACGCUUCAACCCACGAAUUGUGCGUUAAUCGGAGUUGCGACCCACGCUGCACUGUUUGGUACCGAUUCCUACAUUUUCAACCCUUUCAGAUGUUUUUGAUCUUAUUAAAGACAUUUAAGGUUAGGGUAAAUUAUUUUGAGUUUGAAGUUGGAAUUAUCUGUUAUUUUAGGUAAAUUAAGUUUGUUAAUAUGUCUUAAUACGAUAUCAUGGGUCCACCUAGGAUGAAACGAACUUUGAGGGAUAGCAUCGAGCUAGCUCUAGAAAUACUUAGAGAUUGUGGUUUAAGCCAACCAAGUAAGUUUCUCUAUUAUUGGUCUAGUUGGAUGAAUUGUAUUAUCUAUAAUGACGCGUGUCCCGUGACCCUUGCACAUGUCAUAUGUAUAGAAGAUAUGCUAUGCUAUGCCAUGUUGUUUGUUGUUAUGCUAUGUUGAGUUAUGUCAUGUAUAUAAGUGUUAUGUCAUGUAUAUAAGUCAAGUUAUAUUGUGACUAUCAUGUCGCAUAAAAUGUUAUGAUUUCGAUAAUCUAUGAUCUAUAAACUUCCAUAGACCAUGAUGAAAGCUAUGCUAUGUAUGAAAGAAUUGACACGGAUUAUGUAUGUAUAAUCACAGAUUCAUUA